GUGUGUGAUUUGCUCUGCCAUUUGAGUUCUUGGCCCUCGAGUGCAAAGACAGAAGGGAGCUUGACUGCAAGACCCACCUAUCGAGCAGGGACGAAAGUCGGCUUUAGUAAUCCGACAGUGCUGAGUGGAAGGGUCGUCGCUCAAC
rnacentral:ncRNA from 1 species